GAGAUGACCAUCAAGGCUGAAGUAUGGCAACACUGUGCUGUUUGAGAGUAAACGGAGAGACAUGUUGCCAUUGAAAAUUUUAUAUUUUCCAUUAUUGGAAGCCUUGACCACUUCAAGCAAGUUGAAAGCUGAACACUCCAAGCAUGAUGAAAUCCAUUCUCUUGCCUGCAGCAUUAGUGUUUGCUGGUGAGAUGACCAUCGAGGCUGAAGUAUGGCAACACUGUGCUGUUUGAGAGUAAACGGAGAGGUAUGUAUCAAAUUCAGUCUAUAAAUGCUGUAUUCUGUGG